AUACGUAGGGGGCGAGCGUUGUCCGGAAUGAUUGGGCGUAAAGGGCGCGUAGGCGGCUUUGCAAGUCAGUAGUGGAGGUCCAUUUUUCAAGGAUGGAAGUGCUACAGAAACUGCGGAGCUUGAGUGCAGGAGAGGUUAUCGGAAUUCCCGGUGUAGCGGUGAAAUGCGUAGAGAUCGGGAGGAACACCAGUGGCGAAGGCGGGUAACUGGACUGCAACUGACGCUGAGGCGCGAAAGUGUGGGGAGCAAACAGGAUUAGAUACCCUGGUAGUCCACACUGUAAACGAUGAAUGCUAGGUGUAGGAGGUAUCGACCCCUUCUGUGCCGCAGUAAACACAGUAAGCAUUCCGCCUGGGGAGUACGGUCGCAAGAUUAAAACUCAAAUGAAUUGACGGGG
rnacentral:rRNA from 1 species